UCCUACGGGAGGCAGCAGUGGGGAAUAUUGCACAAUGGGGGAGACCCUGAUGCAGCCAUGCCGCGUGUGUGAAGAAGGCCUUCGGGUUGUAAAGCACUUUCAGCAGUGAGGAAGGUCGUGUACUUAAUACGUGCACGGCUUGACGUUAGCUGCAGAAGAAGCACCGGCUAACUCCGUGCCAGCAGCCGCGGUAAUA
rnacentral:rRNA from 1 species